rnacentral:rRNA from 1 species
GGACAUAUCAUAACGAAGAGGUAUCGUAAUUGAAGAGGUUUGGAAAGACCCACCACAGAAGGUAAUAGUCCUGUAUGUUAAACGAGAAGACUUCAGAUAUGAUCCAGAGUACCACGGGACACGUGAAACCCUGUGGGAAGCAGGAGGGACCACCCUCCAAGGCUAAAUACUACCUAGUGACCGAUAGCGUAUAGUACCGUGAGGGAAAGGUGAAAAGAACCCCGGGAGGGGAGUGAAAUAGAACCUGAAACCCUGCACUUACAAGCUGUGGAAGCACAUUUCUUGUGUGACCGCGUACUUUUUGUAGAACGGGCCAACGAGUUACGUUAAGUAGCAAGGUUAAGCACUUAAGGUGCGGAGCCGUAGCGAAAGCGAGUUUUAACUGAGCGUUCAGUUACUUGACGUAGACCCGAAACCGGGCGACCUACCCAUGAGCAGGAUGAAGCGAAAGUAAAAUUUCGUGGAGGUCCGAACCCACGAGCGUUGAAAAGCUCGGGGAUGACUUGUGGGUAGCGGUGAAAUUCCAAUCGAGCCCGGAGAUAGCUGGUUCUCCCCGAAAUAGCUUUAGGGCUAGCCUCAAGGUGAGAGAUACGGAGGUAGAGCACUGAAUGUCCUAGGGGGUAUUGCACCUACCGAAGACUAUCAAACUCCGAAUGCCGUCAUCUUAUACUUGGGAGUCAGACUGUGGGUGAUAAGAUUCAUAGUCGAAAGGGCAACAGCCCAGAUCGUCAGCUAAGGUCCCUAAAUGUAAGUUAAGUGGUAAAGGAUGUGGGAUUGCACAGACAACCAGGAUGUUGGCUUAGAAGCAGCCACUCAUUCAAAGAGUGCGUAAUAGCUCACUGGUCGAGUGAUCCUGCGCCGAAGAUUUCCGGGGCUAAAACUUACUACCGAAGCUACGGCAUCAGUAAUGAUGGGUAGGGGAGCUUCCCAUACGGGUUGAAGCAUGACCGUAAGGACAUGUGGACAGUAUGGGAGUGAGAAUGUUGGCAUGAGUAGCGAGAUGUGGGUGAGAAUCCCACAGGCCGUAAACCCAAGGUUUCCAGGGGAAGGUUCGUCCGCCCUGGGUUAGUCGGGACCUAAGCUGAGGCCGAAAGGCGUAGGUGAUGGACAACAGGUUGAUAUUCCUGUACUACCGAUAACCGUUUGAGAGAAGGGAUGACACAGUAGGAUAAGCUAAGCACACUGUUGGUUAUGUGUGCCCAAGCAUUGAGGCAGUCAAAGUAGGCAAAUCCGCUUUGAUAAUGCUGGGAUGUGAUGGGGAGCGAAAUUUAGUAGCGAAGUAGCUGAUUUCACACUGUCAAGAAAAGUCUCUAUCGAGGUUAAAGGUACCCGUACCGCAAACCGACACAGGUGGGUGAGGAGAGUAUCCUAAGGCCAGCGAGAGAACUGUUGUUAAGGAACUCGGCAAAAUGACCCCGUAACUUAGGGAUAAGGGGUGCCACCAUCAGGUGGCCGCAGAGAAUAGGCCCAAGCGACUGUUUACCAAAAACAUAGGUUUCUGCUAAGUCGCAAGACGAUGUAUAGGAGCUGACGCCUGCCCGGUGCUGGAAGGUUAAGGGGAUCUGUUAGAGCAAUCGAAGCAGUGAACUUAAGCCCCAGUAAACGGCGGCCGUAACUAUAACGGUCCUAAGGUAGCGAAAUUCCUUGUCGGGUAAGUUCCGACCCGCACGAAAGGCGUAACGAUUUGGGCACUGUCUCAACAACAGACUCGGUGAAAUUGUAAUUCCGGUGAAGAUGCCGGAUACCUGCGACAGGACGGAAAGACCCCAUGGAGCUUUACUGUAGCUUGACAUUGGGUCUUGGUACUACAUGUACAGGAUAGGUGGGAGGCUUUGAAACCAGGACGCCAGUUUUGGCGGAGCCAUCCUUGGGAUACCACCCUUGUAGUACUGGGACUCUAACCAUAGGCCAUGAAUCUGGUCUUGGGACACUGUCAGGUGGGCAGUUUGACUGGGGCGGUCGCCUCCCAAAAGGUAACGGAGGCGCUCAAAGGUUCUCUCAGUACGGUCGGAAAUCGUACGUAGAGUGUAAAGGCAAAAGAGAGCUUGAUUGCAAGACAUACAGGUCGAGCAAGGAUGAAAAUCGGACUUAGUGAUCCGGUGGUUCUGCGUGGAAGGGCCAUCGCUCAACGGAUAAAAGCUACCCUGGGGAUAACAGGCUUAUCUCCCCCAAGAGUCCACAUCGACGGGGAGGUUUGGCACCUCGAUGUCGGCUCAUCACAUCCUGGGGCUGUAGUAGGUCCCAAGGGUUGGGCUGUUCGCCCAUUAAAGUGGUACGCGAGCUGGGUUCAGAACGUCGUGAGACAGUUCGGUCCCUAUCCGUCGCAGGCGUAGGAAAUUUGAGAAGACCUGUCCUUAGUACGAGAGGACCGGGAUGGACGUACCUCUGGUGUACCAGUUGU